rnacentral:rRNA from 1 species
AGUGAACGCUGGCGGUAUGCCUAACACAUGCAAGUCGAACGGCAGCACAGUAAGAGCUUGCUCUUACGGGUUGCCAAUGGCGGACGGGUGAGGAAAAUAUCGUACUCUACUUUUUCGUGGAGGAUAACGUAGGGAAACUUACUAUAAUACCGCAUACGACCUACGGGUGAAAGCAGGGGAUCUUCUGACCUUGCGCGGUUGGAUGAGCCGAUGUCGGAUUAGCUAGUUGGCGGGGGAAAGGCCAACCAAGGCGACGAUACGUAGCUGGUCUGGGAGGCUGAUAAGCCACACUGGAACGUAGACACGGUCCAGACGCCUAAGGGAGGCAGCAGUGUGGAACAGUGGACAAAAGGCGCAAGUCUUAUCCAGUCAGCCCGCGCGGGUUACGAAGGCGUUCGGGGUGUGAUGACGUUCUGUUGGGAAAGAACAGCAGCAGGUUAAUACCCCGCUGUUCUGACGGUACCCAAAGAAUAAGCACCGGCUAACUACGUG